rnacentral:rRNA from 1 species
UGGGGAAUUUUGGACAAUGGGCGAAAGCCUGAUCCAGCAAUGCCGCGUGUGUGAAGAAGGCCUUCGGGUUGUAAAGCACUUUUGUCCGGAAAGAAAUCCUUGGCUCUAAUACAGUCGGGGGAUGACGGUACCGGAAGAAUAAGCACCGGCUAACUACGUGCCAGCAGCCGCGGUAAUACGUAGGGUGCAAGCGUUAAUCGGAAUUACUGGGCGUAAAGCGUGCGCAGGCGGUUUGCUAAGACCGAUGUGAAAUCCCCGGGCUCAACCUGGGAACUGCAUUGGUGACUGGCAGGCUAGAGUAUGGCAGAGGGGGGUAGAAUUCCACGUGUAGCAGUGAAAUGCGUAGAGAUGUGGAGGAAUACCGAUGGCGAAGGCAGCCCCCUGGGCCAAUACUGACGCUCAUGCACGAAAAGCGUGGGGGAGCAAAACAGGAUUAGAUACCCUGGUAGUCCACGCCCUAAACGAUGUCAACUAGUUGUUGGGGGAUUCAUUUUCCUUAGUAACGUAGCUAACGCGUGAAGUUGACCGCCUGGGGAGUACGGUCGCAAGAUUAAAAACUUAAAUGAAUUGACGGGGUCAUAGCUGUUUCCU